rnacentral:tRNA from 3 species
GGCGGGGUAGUCCAAAUGGCAGAGACACGAGUCUCAUAAGCUCGUCUAGUGCAAGUUCGACUCUUGCCCCCGCACCCA